rnacentral:rRNA from 1 species
UACGUAGGGUGCAAGCGUUGUCCGGAAUUAUUGGGCGUAAAGAGCUCGUAGGCGGUCUGUCGCGUCUGCCGUGAAAGUCCGGGGCUCAACUCCGGAUCUGCGGUGGGUACGGGCAGACUAGAGUGAUGUAGGGGAGACUGGAAUUCCUGGUGUAGCGGUGAAAUGCGCAGAUAUCAGGAGGAACACCGAUGGCGAAGGCAGGUCUCUGGGCAUUAACUGACGCUGAGGAGCGAAAGCAUGGGGAGCGAACAGG